rfam:Schistosoma haematobium scaffold195_6, whole genome shotgun sequence.
AUACAUCUGACGAGUCCCAAAUAGAACGAAACGCGCAUCCUGAAU